rnacentral:rRNA from 1 species
UUAAUGAGAGUUUGAUCCUGGCUCAGGACGAACGCUGGCGGCGUGCCUAAUACAUGCAAGUAGAACGCUGAAGAGAGGAGCUUGCUCUUCUUGGAUGAGUUGCGAACGGGUGAGUAACGCGUAGGUAACCUGCCUUGUAGCGGGGGAUAACUAUUGGAAACGAUAGCUAAUACCGCAUAACAAUGGAUGACACAUGUCAUUUAUUUGAAAGGGGCAAUUGCUCCACUACAAGAUGGACC